GUUUGCUACUGCUGUAACUGCGGGGAAUGAGGGGAGGGUGUAUGUGCUGAAUGGAUAUGUCAAUGAGUGGUUAAAUGGUAAUUUGGGAAGGGAGAUGUUUGGGAUUGAAGAAAUGAGGUCUGCCAAAGAGAGUGAAGAAGAAAGGGUUUGGGUAUAUCUAUUGGUUGGCUUUGGUUUGGCUUAUUUCUUGUUUUGGAGAUUUCAGAUGAAGCAACU
rnacentral:misc_RNA from 1 species